UACAGAGGUCUCAAGCGUUGUUCGGAAUCACUGGGCGUAAAGGGCGCGUAGGCGGCCACGUGCGUCCGUUGUGAAAUCGCCCCGGCUCAACUGGGCGGGGUCAGCGGAUACGGCGUGGCUGGAGCAAGCUAGGGGGCAAUGGAAUUCCCGGUGUAGUGGUGGAAUGCGUAGAUAUCGGGAAGAACACCCGUGGCGAAGGCGGCUCUCUGGGACGGUACUGACGCUGAGACGCGAAGCGUGGGGAGCGAACAGG
rnacentral:rRNA from 1 species